rnacentral:rRNA from 1 species
UACGUAGGGUGCAAGCGUUAAUCGGAAUUACUGGGCGUAAAGCGUGCGCAGGCGGUCCGUUAAGACAGAUGUGAAAUCCCCGGGCUUUAACCUGGGAACUGCAUUUUGUGACUGGCGGGCUUGAGUGCGGCAGAGGGGGGGUGGAAUUCCGCGUGUAGCAGUGAAAUGCGUAGAGAUGCGGAGGAACACCGAUGGCGAAGGCAGCCCCCCCUGGGUCGACACUGACGCUCAGGCACGAAAAGCGUGGGGGAGCAAACAGG